rnacentral:lncRNA from 1 species
ACAUUUGUCCGCAGCAAUGGGACUCAAGGAAAACAAGGAGAGCAAGAUCAAACAAGUUCCAUUGUCCAACAAAGAAGCCAAUAGCCAGAAUUUAUGGCCAGAUCUUCCACAGCAACUUCUCCACUUAAUUAAUAGCACGUGAGUCGACUUCAUUCCGCAACAUUUGUUACAAGGGUGUGACGAAGUCAUGGAGAGCAGAAUCUUAC